UACGUAGGGUGCGAGCGUUGUCCGGAAUUAUUGGGCGUAAAGAGCUCGUAGGCGGUCUGUCGCGUCUGCUGUGAAAUCCCGAGGCUCAACCUCGGGCCUGCAGUGGGUACGGGCAGACUAGAGUGCGGUAGGGGAGAUUGGAAUUCCUGGUGUAGCGGUGGAAUGCGCAGAUAUCAGGAGGAACACCGAUGGCGAAGGCAGAUCUCUGGGCCGUAACUGACGCUGAGGCGCGAAAGCGUGGGGAGC
rnacentral:rRNA from 1 species